rnacentral:lncRNA from 7 species
AAACGCGGAGGUCCACAAUCUCACCAUCAACAACCUCAAGAGACGUGUGGGCCCUGGCCAAACUCUCCCGAAGUUCUACUAAGGUUGGCUCUGAUGGGACAUAUGGACCAGAUAGAUCUGGGGGGAACUCGAAGGUCCUACGCAUUCCUAAGGAAUGGAUCAUGACCCUGGGAGCAAGGCAGGGAACAUAACAAUGAAUGUCGACACGAAAAGAGGUAGCAGAGCACCAUGCAUUUCUAAAACAACCCUUACCCUGACUCAAGUAAAUGUCAGUGUUUAGAUCCCUGAGUCCUAGGGGCCAUGAGUCAGCGGACGGAUAGCAUCGAGUUUGUUUGUUGCGACUCAAUUAGGAGUCCACCCUGGCCACAGGAUGACCC